rnacentral:rRNA from 1 species
GGGGAAUUUUGGACAAUGGGGGCAACCCUGAUCCAGCCAUGCCGCGUGAGUGAAGAAGGCCUUCGGGUUGUAAAGCUCUUUCGGCCGGGAAGAAAUCGCCAUCUCUAAUAUAGGUGGUGGAUGACGGUACCGGAAUAAGAAGCACCGGCUAACUACGUGCCAGCAGCCGCGGUAAUACGUAGGGUGCGAGCGUUAAUCGGAAUUACUGGGCGUAAAGCGUGCGCAGGCGGUUUUUUAAGAUAGGCGUGAAAUCCCCGGGCUUAACCUGGGAACUGCGCUUAUGACUGGAAGACUAGAGUACGGCAGAGGGGGGUGGAAUUCCACGUGUAGCAGUGAAAUGCGUAGAGAUGUGGAGGAACACCGAUGGCGAAGGCAGCCCCCUGGGCCGAUACUGACGCUCAUGCACGAAAGCGUGGGGAGCAAAC